GACGAACCGUGCGAACGUUAUUCGGAAUCACUGGGCUUAAAGCGCGUGUAGGCGGUUCGUUAAGUCUGGUGUGAAAUCUCCCGGCUCAACUGGGAGAGGUCAUUGGAAACUGGCGGACUAGAGACGGGUAGAGGAAAGCAGAAUUCCCGGUGUAGCGGUGAAAUGCGCAGAUAUCAGGAGGAACACCGGUGGCGAAGGCGGGACUCUGGGCCGAUACUGACGCUGAGGAGCGAAAGCGUGGGGAGCAAACAGG
rnacentral:rRNA from 1 species